CCUACGGGCGGCAGCAGUGGGGAAUAUUGCACAAUAGGGGAAACCCUGAUGCAGCGACGCCGCGUGAGUGAAGAAGUAUUUCGGUACGUAAAGCUCUAUCAGCAGGGAAGAAAAUGACGGUACCUGACUAAGAAGCCCCGGCUAACUACGUGCCAGCAGCCGCGGUAAUACGUAGGGGGCAAGCGUUAUCCGGAUUUACUGGGUGUAAAGGGAGCGUAGACGGCAGCGCAAGUCUGGAGUGAAAUCCCAUGGCUUAACCAUGGAACUGCUUUGGAAACUGUGCAGCUAGAGUGCAGGAGAGGUAAGCGGAAUUCCUAGUGUAGCGGUGAAAUGCGUAGAUAUUAGGAGGAACACCAGUGGCGAAGGCGGCUUACUGGACUGUAACUGACGUUGAGGCUCGAAAGCGUGGGGAGCAAACAGGAUUAGAUACCCGAGUAGUC
rnacentral:rRNA from 1 species